rnacentral:rRNA from 1 species
CCCUUAGAUGUUCUGGGCCGCACGCGUGCUACACUGAGUGGAUCAGCGGGUCAGGUUGCGCGAAAGCGUUUCCUAAUCUUUAAAUCCGCUCGUGAUGGGGAUUGACGGUUGCAAUUUUCUGUCAUGAACGAGGAAUACCUUGUAAGCGCGGGUCAUCAUCCCGCGCUGAAUACGUCCCUGCCCUUUGUACACACCGCCCGUCGCUCCUACCGAUUGAGUGGUCCGGUGAGGCUUUGGGAUCUGGGCGGAAAGAGCGUUUCGCUGUUUCUGCUCGGAAAACUCAGUCGAACCUUAUCAUUUAGAGGAAGGAGAAGUCGUAACA